CCUACGGGAGGCAGCAGUGGGGAAUAUUGGACAAUGGGCGAAAGCCUGAUCCAGCAAUGCCGCGUGAGUGAUGAAGGCCUUAGGGUUGUAAAGCUCUUUUACCAGGGAUGAUAAUGACAGUACCUGGAGAAUAAGCUCCGGCUAACUCCGUGCCAGCAGCCGCGGUAAUACGGAGGGAGCUAGCGUUGUUCGGAAUUACUGGGCGUAAAGCGUACGUAGGCGGUUAUUCAAGUCAGAGGUGAAAGCCUGGAGCUCAACUCCAGAACUGCCUUUGAAACUAGAUAGCUAGAAUCUUGGAGAGGUGAGUGGAAUUCCGAGUGUAGAGGUGAAAUUCGUAGAUAUUCGGAAGAACACCAGUGGCGAAGGCGACUCACUGGACAAGUAUUGACGCUGAGGUACGAAAGCGUGGGGAGCAAGCAGGAUUAGAUACCCUGGUAGUCCACGCCGUAAACGAUGAUAACUAGCUGUUCGGGCUCUACGAGCUUGUAGUGGCGCAGCUACGACAUUAAGUUAGUUCCGCCGUCGGGGUAGGUACGGUCGGCGAGAAGUUAAACUAACUUAAAUUAGUAAGUUAGUUACGGCGUUGAGACGUGCCGACGGACGACGACGAGGGAGGAGG
rnacentral:rRNA from 1 species